UACGGGAGGCAGCAGUGGGGAAUAUUGGACAAUGGGCGAAAGCCUGAUCCAGCCAUGCCGCGUGAGUGAAGAAGGUCUUCGGAUUGUAAAGCACUUUAAGUUGGGAGGAAGGGCAGUUACCUAAUACGUGAUUGUUUUGACGUUACCGACAGAAUAAGCACCGGCUAACUCUGUGCCAGCAGCCGCGGUAAU
rnacentral:rRNA from 1 species